GACGAACGCUGGCGGCGUGCUUAACACAUGCAAGUCGAACGAGAAUCUACGGAUCGAGGAUUCGUCCAAGUGAAGUAGAGGACAGUGGCGGACGGGUGAGUAACGCGUGAGGAACCUGCCUUUCAGAGGGGGACAACAGUUGGAAACGACUGCUAAUACCGCAUGACACAUUGGGGUCGCAUGGCCUUGAUGUCAAAGAUUUAUCGCUGAAAGAUGGCCUCGCGUCUGAUUAGCUAGUUGGUGAGGUAACGGCCCACCAAGGCGACGAUCAGUAGCCGGACUGAGAGGUUGACCGGCCACAUUGGGACUGAGAUACGGCCCAGACUCCUACGGGAGGCAGCAGUGGGGAAUAUUGGGCAAUGGGCGCAAGCCUGACCCAGCAACGCCGCGUGAAGGAAGAAGGCUUUCGGGUUGUAAACUUCUUUUGUCAGGGACGAGUAGAAGACGGUAC
rnacentral:rRNA from 1 species